rnacentral:snRNA from 1 species
UGAUGUGAGGAGAAUCUCGUUGAGACAUCUGUCACUAGAUUCCAGAUUGCCAGGGUUGAUUCAGCUGAUCUACCUGGCUAGGUGGGUGUCUACUCCCUCUCUCACUGCUCUAUAUGUGUCCCUCCCAAAACUAUGUGAUCAGUCCAAGAAGACAACUUUCCCUAAAUAAAUGGAGCUAGUCUUUGGUUAAGAGCAUACAUAGUUGUGCUCCCCUGCCAGAACCUCCAAAGAAGUUCUCAAUUAUAAUCAUUCUUAGAAUGACAUUUGUUGGGAGUCGGGCGGUAGCACAGCGGGUUAAGCGCAGGUGGCGCUAAGCAC